rnacentral:rRNA from 1 species
AGCGAACGCUGGCGGCAGGCCUAAUACAUGCAAGUCGAACGAACUCUUCGGAGUUAGUGGCGGACGGGUGAGUAACACGUGGGAACGUGCCUUUUGGUUCGGAAUAACUCAGGGAAACUUGUGCUAAUACCGAAUGUGCCCUUCGGGGGAAAGAUUUAUCGCCAUUAGAGCGGCCCGCGUCUGAUUAGCUAGUUGGCGAGGUAACGGCUCACCAAGGCGACGAUCAGUAGCUGGUCUGAGAGGAUGGCCAGCCACACUGGGACUGAGACACGGCCCAGACUCCUACGGGAGGCAGCAGUGGGGAAUCUUGCGCAAUGGGCGAAAGCCUGACGCAGCCAUGCCGCGUGAAUGAUGAAGGUCUUAGGAUUGUAAAAUUCUUUCACCGGGGACGAUAAUGACGGUACCCGGAGAAGAAGCCCCGGCUAACUUCGUG